AAAUAAGCUAUGUGUUAAUGGAGAAUGAGCAUAGUUGACUUUCUUUUGAAACAAAAACUGCCGCCCAAAUUCCCAGCUCUUAAACAACGCGGCUUGCUUUCAAAACAUGCUGAUUUUUCGUGACAUGUCAGUGAUUGAAGUUUCCAUUCUUAUGUUAAUCAACGAACCUAGACGCAUUCUUAAUCGGAUUUCGCUAUACCGUGUUUCGGAAACUUCCGCAAAUUUCGAACAAGAUUGUCGGACGCGUUUUGAGUAAACCUCAACCUCUUCGCCUAUAAAUCGAAGCACUCGGCUCCUGUGAUCGUUACAUCCCCAUCGCUCACACCAUCUUUUCUUCACCACAAUAACAUCUCGACACCACCACAACCUCUUUGCCAAUACCUUUGAACCUUGUCGGAGGCAGCUAGUCGUCACCGGAGAGGAACCGAUGUUGCCAGACUCGCCGGAGAAACCCGUAAACCAUCGGAGUUCAGUCGGGGAACCAAGCUCGCCAAAGUUCACGUCACGAGUCGUCACCUUUCGGUUAACCUCUCACGUUCGUCCUUUUGGAUUUAUUUACUCGUGCGUUAUUACAAGAAAUCGCAACGCAAUCUAAGGAACUGCACUUACAUCCGCGCGUGGGAGCAACACUGGACUAGGGGGACCUGAAGUGGUAUGGUCCCAAAUGCUGCAUCAAUCAUACGCACGUUGGACCCUAACCACACUCAACCAUCAAAACUCAGCCAGUUCCAAGACUCGUGCACAAGACCUAACCACGUACGCACAACCUUAACAAGCUCAUGGUAAUGCGCCAGUACAAACAGCAACUGACUGCAGCCAAUCAGCAUGCGCCAGGUUUGACCAACCAAUUUCCACGACGAACAAUCGUGGGAUAUUCACUGUUAUAUUAUCUCUACUCGCAACAUGGCCAGCAAAGCUCUCGCGCCUCGGCGACAGGUAAACAUAGAAUUAAUAAUCCUCAUUUUCCCAACACUCCUAAUAAGUCUAGUGCUCCUCUCAGCGCUUGCACUCGUGAGCAACACUAGACUGGGGGACUUGUAGAGGUAUGGUAUUGGACCCGACCCGAGCGGUCAGACUUUCCCGUUACUUAUUGCCUUUAUAUUAAUUAUUUAUUAUUGUGCUGACUAACCUAAUCCGCGAAGCCUAGCGCGUUGUAGUUUACACUACACUAGGUUGUGGGCUUGUAGAGAUAACCCCUAACUGGGCCUGGCCCAUUGAGGUUAGGGGAGGCCCAUAUCCCCUAUAUAAAGAGGUGUUCACCUCAUUAUUAGGGCACAGGAUAUGGAGCCGUCACACUUUUGUUACUGGAAACAGGGGAUUCUUUCCCCUACCGGUCAUCUCUACCGCUCCACUUUAUUGUUUUCUCCAUUGCAGAUCUAGGUCCAAGAGGAAGAACAAGGUGUGAUUCUUCACCCUCAUGGAGAAAGCGGUCCAAUCAUCCCGGCGGUGAUUCCGUGUUUCAACAUCUUUAAAUUUUAUUUUAGAUAUUCAACUAUUAUUCAUUUAUAAACGUUCUGUAACUAAUUAUUCAAUUAAAUAUUAAAUAACUUUAUGAACGUUCUGUAAGUAAUUAUUC